GUGCUCGCUUUGACAGCACAUAUACUAAAAUUGGAACGAUACAGAGAAGAUUGGUAUGGCCUCUGGGCAAGGAUGACACGCAAAUGAUAUGCUUCUUGUCUCA
rnacentral:snRNA from 1 species